GACGAACGCUGGCGGCGUGCUUAACACAUGCAAGUCGAACGGAAAGGCCCUGCUUUUGUGGGGUGCUCGAGUGGCGAACGGGUGAGUAACACGUGAGUAACCUGCCCUUGACUUUGGGAUAACUUCAGGAAAAUGGGGCUAAUACCGGAUAGGAGCUCCUGCUGCAUGGUGGGGGUUGGAAAGUUUCGGCGGUUGGGGAUGGACUCGCGGCUUAUCAGCUUGUUGGUGGGGUAGUGGCUUACCAAGGCUUUGACGGGUAGCCGGCCUGAGAGGGUGAACGGCCACAUUGGGACUGAGAUACGGCCCAGACUCCUACGGGAGGCAGCAGUGGGGAAUAUUGCACAGUGGGCGGAAGCCUGAUGCAGCAACGCCGCGUGCGGGAUGACGGCCUUCGGGUUGUAAACCGCUUUCGCCGGUGACGAAGCGUGAGUGACGGUAAUGAGUAAAGAAGCACCGGCUAACUACGUG
rnacentral:rRNA from 1 species